rnacentral:rRNA from 1 species
UGGAUUUGACAUCCCGGGAAUUCCGAGGAAACUUGGGAGUGCCUGAUUUAUCAGGAGCCUGGAGAC